CCAUGCUGUUCGCUAUCAGUUUCUCUACUUGUUAAAGAGUUGGUAAGCGAACAGCAUGGAUCCGGAUCAGACUGCGCUGAUGCGCAGGCUGGUCUGGAUCCAUGCUGGUCGCAAAUGCAUUACAUUGGUUUUGUCGUGACGCGGCUCAUUUAUAUUGUUUUAGAUCUUUCCAUAUCAGUGACAAAGAAACAUAGAAUUAUUUUACCUGAAAAAGAAACUGAACUGAUUUAACAAUAAUAUGGUGUUUUUAUUCAAACCAAGGUAAUCAUGGCUUUUAAAGUCUUCAUGUUGUUCUACACAUGUGCUUACUUGUGCUUGAAAUGUAAUAAUUGCCAGGAUGCCAUGUCAGAUACCAUGGUUGUAUUGUCACCUGAUAUUUUACUCCAGUGUAUUUCAAUAAAUGUCAUUUUUUGUGACUUAUGAAAUCAGACAUGUAAAGAAGUCAGAAAAAUCAGUCAAGAAAUGAGACAAAUAAAGAAAUCACACAAAUAAUUAAAGACAUAAGACAAGUCAAUCGACACAUCAAACAGAUCAAUUAAAAAAGCAGAUAAGUAAAUCAAGAAAUCUGACAAAUCGAGAAAUAUGACAAAUCAAGACAUAAGACAUUAAUUAAAGACACCAGACAAGUCAAGACAUGUGACAAAUUGGUCAAGAAAUCAGACAAAUCAAUCAAGACAUCAGAAAAAAUCAAUGAAGAAAUCAGACAAAUAGGUCAAGAAAUCAGACAAAUCAAUCAAGACAUC